GGCCCGUUAGCUCAGUUGGUUAGAGCGUGGUGCUAAUAACGCCAAGGUCGUGGGUUCGAUCCACCCACGGGCCA
rnacentral:tRNA from 1 species